rnacentral:lncRNA from 1 species
ACACACCAGAAGAGGGCAUCGGAUCCCAUUACAGAUGGUUGUGAGCUACCAUGUGGUUGCUGGGAAUUGAACUCAGGACCUCUGGUAGAGCAGUCAGUGCUCUUAACCGCUGAGCCAUCUCUCCAGCCCAUGGAAUUAUUUUCAUUGCUGCCUCAUAACUGUAAUUUUGCUACUGUUAUGAAUCAUGAUGUAACACUCUAAUAUGCAGGACAUGUGAUAUGGGACCCCCGUGAAAGGGUCAUUCAACCCCCAAAGGGGUUGUGACCCACAGACUGAGAACCUGAGCUAGGAGGCUUUCUCUUGUUUCCGCUGUGCUCCAGGUUGGCUGGCUUGUGCACUUCUGUUGUAUCCCUGCCUCCCAUCUUGCUAUAGAGAAGGGUCUGUGUGCACAGCAUCUGAGCUUGGCUUGUCAGGCUGCUGUGCCCGCAGCCUUUAAUUGCUGCGGUCCCAGUUGGUGAGAUGGUUCAGCGUGUCCAAGAGCUUGCCGUAAAAUGACAUCAUGAGUUCAGUCCUUGGGUCCCCCCCCCCCCAAAAAGGUGGAAGGAGAGCACAAAACCACCAAUUCAUCCCCCACUCACAGACAUUAAAUAAAUGAGUAGGUUUUAUAUAGCUCUGGUUGUUCUGGAACUCACUCUAUAGACCAGGCUAGCUUUGAACCUGACUCUACCAAGUUCUGGGAUUAAAGUGUGUGCCACCAUGCCCACCUACAGAAGAGUGUAUUUUAAAAGACCUUUCCCUUUGC